CUCCUCAACCCGACGCAUUUAAUCAAGAAACGGCUAAAUGUGCUUUUAUGUUGAGUCUGCUUACAGGUCUUCCCACAGCUCUGGAGACUGCAGAGGCCCUGUUCAACCAGCUUUUAACAGUAUAUGGACUCCCAGACGAUACUUUUACUGACCAGGGACCACAGUUCACAUCACAGUCAUGAACAGCACCAGUGGAGCACCUUCCUGCCAUGGAGUAUGCACAGAACUCCAUUACACACUCAUCCACAGGACUAACCCCGUUUCAAUGUGUUCUGGGUUAUCAACCUCCAAUUUUCCCUUGGUCUAGAAAACC
ensembl:lncRNA